rnacentral:lncRNA from 1 species
GGCAUUCUGGGAGUGGUCUCCUCUUAUCAGUGUUAUUUUGGGGAACACAAUAGCUUCUGGGCAAUGCCCAUUAUUGGGAGAUCAACCAAAUUGCCAAAUUUCGACCCUAAGAUAGUGGUUGAAUUAGCGUAAAAAUCUCUAGUUAUAAUGUAUUUUAUUAUUCUGAAGAUAUUAAAAAAGGGAUGACUUUUAAAUUUCAAAAUAUCCCACUAAGAAAGCUUUCUAAUUAUUAAUAAAGGUGGUAUAGACAGCAAGGAAAAUGACAUAGAAAUGAAAUUUUAUUUAUGUAGAAUUCACUUAUUGAAUACUUUUUAGUCUGAUCUAUGUUCUAGACAGAAACACAGCCUGAUCCUUUUUUCUGUUCUCUUUCUGUUUCUCAUGGCUGUCUCUGUUACCAGGGCUGUGCCAUCAAAGGAAACCACAUAUGCUCUUAGCCUGGCUAAACAUGGCAUGGUUGGCACAUGGAUAAAGAAGGUCACUGUGGAAGCAUGAACAGAAACAGCACAACAUUUUGCAUGCAAAAAAAAAUGAGUCACAGAUACCUUAAGAAUAUAUUACUUAGAGAAGAGAAAAUGUAAACGGAUUACACAUUUGGGAAGGUGCAAGGGGAAUUUGGGGUAGCUUGUUAUGUAACAGUGCUAACCGACACAUAAGGCAGAGUACCUACCAUCUGUCCUCUGUUCAGGCAAGUUUGAAUGAGAAAACAAUUCCUUCAUAGGAAGAAAAUACAUCUGUUAUUGUGGCAGAUAAACCCAUGGGCAGACUCUUACCAUUUGAUUUCACUGGGGAAAAGGGCAUUUAUGAUCUAAAAUUAUCUAAAAUAUCGCAUACCAAAAAAUAGGCCAUAAUGUGUUUACAUCUUUUUCUUUAUCUUUUUUUUUUUUGGAAAUUAUUGUUAAUAUUUUUAAGGUAUGAUAAUUUUGUUGCAGUUUAUGCUUUUUUAAAGUAUUCUCAUUUUUUAGAAGGUAAUAGCAAUGGAUAAAAUAUAUGAAGUCAGAGAUUUGUUUAGGAAGGUUAGGGAGUUUUGCUGCAAGAUUAACCAUCUCUAUUCGACCACCAAAUCUUUGUUCCAGCAAUGAAUUCAUUUAGCAAUGUGCUUAGAGGCUCCUGAGCCUGGGCAGAAAUAACAGACUGGGACACAAAAGCUAGGCCAGCUGAUGAGCCCAGAGACAGAGGCUGCGCAGUUCCAAAAAGUUAAUUACAGUGGACAAAGGCAGCAGACGAUGACUUGUUGAAUCAUUACCAUAAUCACAUUACUGCACUGCUCUGAAGUUCCCAGCCAAGGUGGCAUUGCUGCUUCUCAUUCUGCCCAUGUACUUCAUACUCAUUUGCCACCUGCAAUUUACUGUGUGUGACUUCUCAGUUGACAUGCUUUUAACUAGCUCAGCUUGUUUGUGUAUGCUAGACAUUCUUAAAUUUUUCAUAUUUUUCUAUCAAAAGAGCCUGAUAGGAGAAAAGUGUUAAAGUAGCUGGUACAGAAAAAGUUGGUGUUAAAAUUAUCUAUUUGUCUCAAAAUUUGUGAUUCAGGAAAGCACUAUCAUGCAUUAGCGCAACUAUUGCAACAUAAUUGCAAUAUCAAAAUCAUAUAUUUAUGUAUAUAACUUUAGAAAGGUCUAAGUACGGUUAAUAUAAUAUAAAACAAAACAUUGAUUUACAGCUUUAGGUAGGUCUAAACAAGGUGAAUAUAAAUCC